rnacentral:lncRNA from 1 species
CACUUGGCCUCUGAGCAGAGGAGGGGAAGUUGGUGCGAAUAGUUGCCGAACAGGCAUUUUUAAUACAUGAUAAAAAUAACCUUUUCGAUAUUUAAAUCAUUUUGUUGCCAAGGGCAUUUAAUCAGGCCCAUUGCCAAAUGCUAAUUAAUGAUACAAGUGGAGAAUUUUAUUUAAAUUUGUUAUACUAAUAUGUUGAAAUAUAAAUAGAAACUGCCAGUUGAGAGGAGCUUGUCAAAGGGUGGAGUGUGGAAAGCGAAGGGGCCUGGCAUCAAACUUUAAAACAAUAGAUCCAUAGUGCUUCAGAAGCUAAUUGAGGCAGAGACCUUGCAAGGAAAGUAAUUUAUUAAUUUAAAGACAGUCUUUUAAAAGAUGUUAAAGGACUCUAAGCCUUGGGAAUGGUAUGAUUUAGGCUAACUUGGUUGUGAGCAAGGUCUUUUGGGGCCACUGUGCAUCUUGAAUUGGAAUGUCUUUAUACAACUCAUUCACUUUUAACACUGGCCUUGGUUGGCUUUGGUUCUCAGGUUAUUUUUGGUCAUGAUGUGAAGCUGUCCUGUCUUGUGCUUUAGGCUCUCCUGAUUUUCAAAGGAAGUUCAUUAUGGAGACGUGGUGGCAUCUAUGCCUAACAAUACUAAUAACAUGCUCAGCAGAGCAGUGAUGUACUGCUCUAUACAGUCCUGUCUGUAUUUCCGAGCUCCAUCUUCCACUGGCAUUCCCAAUGCUUCAGCUUCUUAUGCUCCUGACAUAUUUCCAUGCAUUUUUGUGGAUGGAAAUGAAUCAGACCUAGGUAGAUAGACCACCUUAAGGCAAGGGGAUAGAGAAGAGGAUGGAGCAUACACCUCUAUAUUCUUUUUGCAUGUGAACAAAAAAUGCAAAGGUUGCUUCUUUCCCCAGGCUGGACCUUUAGACCUCUAAACCAAUGUCCAGCAGCUAGCCAGUUCACUUCAUAAAAUGAGUCAUUCUGGGGAAGGAAAUAAAUCACUUUGGGUCAAGGAAUUGUUUCUACUGAUUUGUGUGAUGGUAUUAGACAGGAUUCAAUGAAAGAGGAAGAGAUGCAGGAAUUAGGGGCCUGUAGGUGGUUGAGCAAAGUUGUAAGAUUCAGUUGUUUUUAUCCUGGUUGCUCUGAGGUUUCCUGUCUCAAUGCCUGUGUUUGUAUGGGUUUCCCUUCCUGGUGUGAGCAUCCCCCCUCAAGUCACAAUUCCUUUGUAUUCAUCCAUGUGUUCUUUCACUGGAGAAGUCUCAGAGCACUAAUCAUGUAGAACUGGAGGUUCACUUUGCU